rnacentral:rRNA from 1 species
GCAGCAGUGGGGAAUAUUGGACAAUGGGCGCAAGCCUGAUCCAGCCAUACCGCGUGGGUGAAGAAGGCCUUCGGGUUGUAAAGCCCUUUUGUUGGGAAAGAAAUCCAUCUGGUUAAUACCCGGGUGGGAUGACGGUACCCAAAGAAUAAGCACCGGCUAACUUCGUGCCAGCAGCCGCGGUAAUACGAAGGGUGCAAGCGUUACUCGGAAUUACUGGGCGUAAAGCGUGCGUAGGUGGUCGUUUAAGUCCGUUGUGAAAGCCCUGGGCUCAACCUGGGAACUGCAGUGGAUACUGGGCGACUAGAAUGUGGUAGAGGGUAGCGGAAUUCCUGGUGUAGCAGUGAAAUGCGUAGAGAUCAGGAGGAACAUCCAUGGCGAAGGCAGCUACCUGGACCAACAUUGACACUGAGGCACGAAAGCGUGGGAGAGCAACAGGAUUAGAUACCUGGUAGUCCACGCCCUAAACGAUGCGAA